AGACUCCUACGGGAGGCAGCAGUGGGGAAUAUUGGGCAAUGGGCGCAAGCCUGACCCAGCGACGCCGCGUGAGGGAAGAAGGCCCUUGGGUCGUAAACCUCUGUUGUAUGGGAAGAAGGACGUGACGGUACCAUAGGGGGGAAUCCCGGCUCCAGCAGCCGCGGUAAUACGUAGGGGACGAGCGUUNUCCGGAAUUACU
rnacentral:rRNA from 1 species